UUGUGUAUUGGGAUAAACCGUAAUCGUACCCCCUCCUAACUGCCAAAGUGUCAUGGCCGCCGUCGGGACCUAUUGUGCUGACAUUUACAAUGUUUACAUAUAGAAAAGUUUGUUUUUUUUCUGCUUAUAAUGCCGUUUUCUAAAGAUAUUAGUGAACAAAAUCGAUUUGCUAACAAUAUUUAAUAUAUUUUAAAUGUGCUAAAAUUGGAUUCAACAGCAAAAGUCGCAUAAAUAACAUAUAAAUAACGAAUUUGUUUACCUAUUACAAAUGGGGUUAUGUGGUUGUAACUGUUUAUUUUGGGAAUAAAAUGAAAAUGAUCAAUUAAACGACUGGAAAACUAUAGUAAAGUGAAGAACAUCGUGAAGUUCCAAUGAUGUUUCAAGAUGAGAUAAAUCGAAAUAAUGGUUGUAUGUUAGAAGGACAGAGAAUACGAAGAAAUGUUAUUGCUGCAUACUUAGUGUAGUGAAAUACAAACUUCAAACAUUAUAAUAUAUUUUUUUAUUUCAAACAUUUCAUAUGAUUAUGAAAGAACAUCUUCCUCUUUAAAACAAUGAAGAAGUGAAGAACAUAAUAAAGUUCCAACGAAAAUGAUUCCAGAUGAGGAAAAUCGAAAUAAUGGUUGUAUGUUACGUGUAUAGAGAAUACGAAGAAAUGUUAUUGCUGCAAACUUAGUGUAGUGAAUUAAAAACUUAUUGUCAAAUACAAAUCAAUUUAUUUCAUACUUUUAUAAUAUAUAGUGGUACAAUUUUAUAUGUGUUCAAAUAAAAAUAUUAAUAAAUAAAAUACAAUAAACACAAA